rnacentral:lncRNA from 1 species
GAACGAGCGGCGGCAAGAUGGCUGCGUGGGCACGAGGAUGCACUCCAGGGUGGGCCAGGAGAAAAGAGAAAAGACAGCUUGGUGAUGACUAAGAAGCAAGAAACUGGAGCCUAAGCUAGUACUGAGAGGAAAGCUACCUCUGCAGCGCUCCACUUUGCCCCAGCUUCAGGAUAUGUUGUCUUGGGAUACAGGACAAUGCAGAUGACUUUCGAAGCCCAGAUACAAUGGUUCGUGCCUUUAACCCUAGUACUUGGGAGAUGGAGACAGGAUGCAGAUGACUUUCGAAGCCCAGAUACAAUGGUUUGUGCCUUUAACCCUAGUACUUGGGAGAUGGAGACAGGACAGUAAGGAGUUCAAGGCAAGCCAGGGCUACAUGAGACCCUGCCUCAGAAAACAAACAAAGGAAGAGACAGGACAAAAAGGAGAGAGCUGGGGUGCUGCCCCGCAGUGGCACCAUAACCUUUGGCCACCCCAGUGGCAGGAGCUCCUGACGGACCGCUCUUGUCGUCCAGUGCUCAUUACACCACUGUCAGUGUGUGUCUGCUGCCGCCUCUGGGUGUGUGUGUUUCUUUUUGUAUCUCGUGUCAGUGUCAGGCAGUGUGUGUCUAUUUAUGUCGGCCUGUCUAGGCGUGCUCAGUGCAACAGGGAGCUGGGGGCGGUGUUGGGAAAAAGAAGACAUUUCAGAGCCUCAGCUCUCCCCCUCAGGGAUAUCAGGAUGCUGGUAUGUAUGUACUUGCACACAUACAGAUACAGGAUUCUUUUUCUCUUGUUCACUGUGUGGGGAUGCAGUCGAGGGUCUGGCCAGGUAUGGCCU